GACAAAAGCUGGGGAGAAGAGAGCAUUAGCAUACAGCAGCUAUGGCUGGGGGCCUCGGUCGGCCCCAACUGGGUUUCUGCGGGGUGUUCACUGGUCCUGGGCCUGCAGAAAUGUCGGGCAGGGAACAGCCAGAGCGAUUGUGUGGGUCAGCACUAGUGUCGUGUCUGCGUAAACGCAUACAGUGAUACCUGCAUCUGUGCACACACCCUACAGACAGCACUGCCAGACAGAGCAGCGCUCCUGGAUCUGCUCUAUCAGUAGAGGGGGUUGAUCUCUACUGCUGUGGACUUGGUGUUGAAACGUCAGGAACGCAGGACCACAGGUGGUGGCAAUGUGUCAGAAGAAGGGAGCCAUUCCAGCAGAAAACCAGCAGUCACUCUGGACCCUGUGUGGUGAACCCCAAUGUUGUCUCGGAAGACCGGUGCUGGGGCAUCAGGAACUGACAGGAAGCAGCCUUGGCAAGGCCACACAACAGAAGUAUCUGAGGCCAGAGGAGAAAAAUUCCAU